rnacentral:lncRNA from 1 species
AAAAAAAUAUAAAAAACUAUAAAUUAUGAGUUUGAUGGCAAAAUGUUCCAUAGUUAUGGUAACACACAAUCAAAGGGGGUAUCAAUCUAUGUGAAAAAUAAUUUUAAAAUGUAAGACAAUAAAUGAGAUAAAAGAUACAGAAGGCAGAAUAAUUUUGAUUAACAUAGAAAUAAAUGAAAACAUUUUUACUUUAAUAAAUGUAUAUGCUCCAAAUCAACACAAAAACAGAAACAAAUUUUUCAAAAAGGUCCAAAAUAUAAUUGAAAACAAUCGCUUGGGUAUUCUUAUACUUGGAGGUGACAUGAACGAAACCCUAUCAAUUAAUGAUAAAAAAAAACUAAUAAUAUCUCUCGAAACUACAAACCAGUGAAUAGUUUAAAAAAAUUAAUAAAGAAAAAUAAUUUAACAGAUAUAUGGAGAGAACUUCAUCCAAAUACAAGUCAAUUCACAUGGAGAAGGAAAAAUGAUACAAAAAUAGCCAGUAGAAUUGACUUCUUUCUAAUAAGUCCUGAUAUAAGACCGC